rnacentral:rRNA from 1 species
UUUUUACAAUGUAGAGUUUGAUCCUGGCUCAGGAUGAACGCUAGCUACAGGCUUAACACAUGCAAGUCGCGGGGCAGCAUGGAUGUCCUUUCGGGGACAUCUGAUGGCGACCGGCGCACGGGUGAGUAACGCGUAUCCAACCUGCCCUUUACUAUGGGACAGCCCGUCGAAAGGCGGAUUAAUACCGUAUGUUGUCAUGUUGAUGCAUAUUUUCAUGACCAAAGGCUU